UUCUGUGUUAUAAUUUUUAAAGACAGUAAAGUUUAAUGGCGGUGGCUAUCCAAUCGAAAGUGAGGUGGUGCGUAUGUGCGUACUUCCAAAAUCUGAUAGAAAGGAGACGCCUUUUGCAUCUUGCGGAAAUCACUGCUUUGAUUUUAGUUCUUGCGCCUUG
rnacentral:sRNA from 1 species